rnacentral:rRNA from 1 species
AUUGAACGCUGGCGGCAGGCCUAACACAUGCAAGUCGAGCGGAGCAGCGGAAGGGUGAGUAUUGCCUAGGUAUAUGCCUGGUAGUGGGGGAUAACGUCCGGUAACGGGCGCUAAUACCGCAUCCUAUCAGCUGAGUCUAGGCCGGAUUAGCGAGUUGGUGGGGUAAAGGCAUACCAAGGCGACGAUCCGUAACUGGUCUGAGAGGAUGAUCAGUCCAACUGGAACUGAGACACGGUCCAGACUCCUACGGGAGGCAGCAGUGGGGAAUAUUGGACAAUGGGCGCAAGCCUGAUCCAGCCAUGCCGCGUGUGUGAAGAAGGUCUUCGGGUUGUAAAGCACUUUAAGUUGGGAGGCGUUACCAACAGAAUAAGCACCGGCUAACUUCGUGCCAGCAGCCGCGGUAAUUC